AGGAUAUACGUCAUAGGUCAUGCGGACAAGUACAUCAUUAUAAAAGUUGACAUAAAUGGAGAAGUAGAGAGAGUCUUUGAAACAAAACCAGAUCGCGUGAACGUAAAUCAUCUUAUUUCUCAAAAUGGUCGAAUUUUUUCUCUGAACACUCAAAUGUUCUCCAUGUAUCUGUUGGGUUCUGAUGAGAUUUCAAGUAAGGUUAUUAACAAAGUGGAGGUAGAUAAGUCAUAUUCAGGAAGUGCCUCUGUUGACAACUUCGGGAAUAUCAUAGUGGGAACAGACCCUGCAGCCUCUAUCAUAGUGGGAACAGAUCCUCCAGCCUCUAAGAUUGUCGUAAUCGAUCCGAGACUAGAGCGUAAGCACGAGAUAGGUUGUGAUUUUCUAGGAAGAGUCCGAGCCACAGCUGUCGACAAACAAAACCAGCUCUGGAUUGGAACAGACGCUGGAAAUCUGUACAUUGCAAAAUACCUUAAAUAAAGACCUUCCUUUGAUGAAAAUGAAUGCUUUUGGUUUUAUGGAUUGCUAAAACCGAAAGCAUCCAUUGUCUAACGUAAACUGGUCCAACCAGGGAUAACGUUAUACAUUUACGUCUGCCGAGUAUGAUUCCCUCCAUUUCUUACGGAAACUUAUAGUUAAUUCAUAUCUCUAUAGAAACAGCUAGACUGGAAUCUAAAUGCCCUGUUUAUUGAUUGGUUGAAAACUACUGUGACUGAAACUGACAGGAAAAUGAUAGGACUGAAAUCUGCACGCCCCGUUUAUCGAUUGAUCGAAACCUACAGCGACCUUUGAAAAAUCACGGACUGCACGAAAUAAUCAUAACGUUGUUAGACUCAAAAUCCUAUAGGUGACAAUUUGGCUCUCUCUAUUAGCUACUUACGUACCGAUGUACAUGAACAGUAACUUAGUGAAUAUUACUUUUUAUAAUCAAUUUAUUAAUUUGUAAAAAAAAAAAAAGAUGUAAACGUAAACAAAAAAAUACUUUCUUUCAUGAUUCACGCGGGUUAAGAAGGUAGCAGUCAUUGCAUAAAAAAUUUCCAUAACCUGCUAACGCGGGUUAUGUAUAUUUUUUUCUGCAAUGUAGCCAUAUUCAUGUCCCGCAUGAAUCACUUAAGAAAGAAUUUGUUUAAAUACACAGUGAAUCCCUGUAAACAUUACAUUUUAUCAAAAUGUUUUUCCUAUUAUUUUAUUUGUAUAUCUGUUUAAGAUUUCUUGAAACCUAUUUUAAUUAAUGCCGGAUUGUCCCAGUCCAACGUAAAUGGGCAAUUAACGUUACUGUAUGGAUUACGUUACUUACUGGCAACUAGUGUCUUGUGAAGAAUUUGUAUAAGACGAUUAUUUUCAUAUGCGUGAUGAAUUAGUUCAGGCCUUUUUGGUUGAUUUGUUGGGUUUUUGAUAGUUUUUGUUCGAUUCUCGAUUCUGGCAGAAUCAUAAGAAGGGAUUGUACUCCUUAGUAACGGAGAAAAUAUAUAGGAGGAAUUUAUUAUUUUAGCAUAUAUCUUAUUAAUUUAGUUUUUAUUCUAAUGUCAAAUAAAAAAAACAACU
rnacentral:misc_RNA from 1 species